AGCGAACGCUGGCGGCAGGCCUAACACAUGCAAGUCGAGCGGCCGUAGCAAUACGGCAGCGGCAGACGGGAUAGUAACACGUGGGAACGCGCCCUUCGGUUCGGAAUAACUCAGGGAAACUUGAGCUAAUACCGGAUACGCCCUUACGGGGGAAAGAUUUAUUGCCGAAGGAACGGCCCGCGUCCGAUUAGCUAGUUGGUGAGGUAAUGGCUCACCAAGGCGACGAUCGGUAGCUGGUCUGAGAGGAUGACCAGCAUCACUGGGACUGAGACACGGCCCAG
rnacentral:rRNA from 1 species